ACUUUUUUACCGUUGGGUUGUGCUGUGCUCAAAGGCUCAUUUUUAUGUGAAUUCUAAACAAAUUGUAUAUUUUAGGUAUGUUUAUUAAGCAACCCAGUGGGCAGAUCUUGUUAAUGGUAGAAGGGUAUACCAUGAGUAAAUAUUACACGUCCAGUGACGGAAGUCAGAUUCAAUGGCGAUGCUCGUGUUGGAAGAGUAAGAACUGCCGAGUGAGCGUUUAUACCACACCGGAAGGGAUCGUCAACUAUUUAAAAGGGCAGCAUAGUCACACAGCUCCUGCUUAUCAUAUCACGAAAGUGGGAAACUACUUAAAUUCAUAACAAUGUCCAAAUCGGGCAAGCAACACCUUAUGAUCAACAAAUACAUUUAUUACAAGAAAUCCACAUUGCAAAGAGGAAUGAAAUGGUGCUGCACGAAUUGUUUAUGUCGAGCUUACGUCAAGACCAGCCAUGAAUUGGAAAUACAAGAGAUAAGAGGUGAACAUCUACACCAGCCAGCCAAGUAUCACCAGCUUGCUGAUGGCACUUAUAUUAAGGUUGGAAUAUGAUAGCGAGAAAUGAACAUAAUAAUAUAUAAU